GAUGAAGAACGUAGUAAAAUGCGAUAAGUAAUGUGAAUUGCAAAUUCAGUGAAUCAUCGAGUCUUUGAACGCACAUUGCGCCCCCUGGUAUUCCGGGGGGCAUGCCUGUCCGAGCGUCAUUGCUGCCCUCAAGCACGGCUUGUGUGUUGGGCCCCGUCCUCCGAUCCCGGGGGACGGGCCCGAAAGGCAGCGGCGGCACCGCGUCCGGUCCUCGAGCGUAUGGGGCUUUGUCACCCGCUCUGUAGGCCCGGCCGGCGCUUGCCGAUCAACCCAAAUUUUUAUCCAGGUUGACCUCGGAUCAGGUAGGGAUACCCGCUGAACUUAAGCAUAUCAAUAAGCGGAGGA
rnacentral:misc_RNA from 1 species